rnacentral:rRNA from 1 species
UACAGAGGGUGCGAGCGUUAAUCGGAAUUACUGGGCGUAAAGCGUGCGUAGACGGUUUCGUAAGUCGGGUGUGAAAGCCCCGGGCUCAACCUGGGAAUUGCAUUCGAGACUGCGUAGCUAGGGUGCGGAAGAGGGAAGCGGAAUUUCCGGUGUAGCGGUGAAAUGCGUAGAUAUCGGAAGGAACAUCAGUGGCGAAAGCGGCUUCCUGGUCCAGCACCGACGUCAGGCACGAAAGCGUGGGGAGCAAACAGGG